GUAGAUAUAGUUUAACAUAAAACAUUAGAUUGUGGUUCUAAAAAUAGAGGUUAAACUCCCCUUCUACACU
rnacentral:tRNA from 1 species